rnacentral:rRNA from 1 species
GACGAACGCUGGCGGCGUGCUUAACACAUGCAAGUCGAACGGAAAGGCCCUGCUUGCAGGGUACUCGAGUGGCGAACGGGUGAGUAACACGUGGGUUAUCUGCCCUGCACUUCGGGAUAAGCCUGGGAAACUGGGUCUAAUACCGGAUAGGAGCCAUUUUUAGUGUGAUGGUUGGAAAGUUUUUUCGGUGUAGGAUGAGCUCGCGGCCUAUCAGCCUGUUGGUGGGGUAAUGGCCUACCAAGGCGGCGACGGGUAGCCGGCCUGAGAGGGUGGACAGCCCCAUUGGGACUGAGAGACGGCCCAGACUCCUACGGGGGGCAGCAGUGGGGAAUAUUGCACAAGGGGCGCAAGCCUGAUGCAGCGACGCCGCGGAGGGGAUGACGGCCUUCGGGUUGGAAACUCCUUUCGCUAGGGACGAAGCUUUUUGUGACGGUACCUAGAGAAGAAGCACCGGCUAACUACGUG